UACGUAGGGGGCAAGCGUUGUCCGGAAUUAUUGGGCGUAAAGAGCGCGUAGGCGGUCCGGUAAGUCCGCUCUGAAAGCCCGGGGCUCAACCCCGGGAGGCGGGCGGAUACUGUCGGGCUAGAGUCCGGAAGAGGCGAGUGGAAUUCCUGGUGUAGCGGUGAAAUGCGCAGAUAUCAGGAGGAACACCAAUGGCGAAGGCAGCUCGCUGGGACGGUACUGACGCUGAGGCGCGAAAGCGUGGGGAGCAAACAGG
rnacentral:rRNA from 1 species